rnacentral:tRNA from 1 species
GAGAGUAUAGCUCAGUGGUAGGGUGUGUGCUUGGCAUGCACGAGGUCCUGGGUCCUGGGUUCAAUCCCCAGGACCUCCA